rnacentral:rRNA from 1 species
GAUGAACGCUGGCGGCGUGCCUAAUACAUGCAAGUCGAGCGAACAGACGAGGAGCUUGCUCCUCUGACGUUAGCGGCGGACGGGUGAGUAACACGUGGAUAACCUACCUAUAAGACUGGGAUAACUUCGGGAAACCGGAGCUAAUACCGGAUAAUAUAUUGAACCGCAUGGUUCAAUAGUGAAAGACGGUUUUGCUGUCACUUAUAGAUGGAUCCGCGCCGCAUUAGCUAGUGGUAAGGUAACGGCUUACCAAGGCAACGAUGCGUAGCCGACCUGAGAGGGUGAUCGGCCACACUGGAACUGAGACACGGUCCAGACUCCUACGGGAGGCAGCAGUAGGGAAUCUUCCGCAAUGGGCGAAAGCCUGACGGAGCAACGCCGCGUGAGUGAUGAAGGUCUUCGGAUCGUAAAACUCUGUUAUUAGGGAAGAACAAAUGUGUAAGUAACUAUGCACGUCUUGACGGUACCCAAUCAGAAAGCCACGGCUAACUACGUG